GACUCUCUGAUCCAGAGCCACUACAGUAGUGAGUCAUUUAGCAGACUCUCUGAUCCAGAGACACUACAGUAGUGAGUCAUUUAGCAGACUCUCUGAUCCAGAGCCACUACAGUAGUGAGUCAUUUAGCAGACUCUCUGGUCCAGAGCCACUACAGUAGUGAGUCAUUUCACAGACUCUCUGAUCCAGAGCCACUACAGUAGUGAGUAAUUUCACAGACUCUCUGAUCCAGAGCCACUACAGUAGUGAGUCAUUUAACAGACUCUCUGAUCCAGAGCCACUACUGUAGUGAGUCAUUUAACAGACUCUCUGAUCCAGAGCCACUACAGUAGUGAGUUAUUUAGCAGACUCUCUGAUGGGAGAUGAAACUCAACUCUGGCAUGACAAGCGCCAUGCUCUACCAACUGAGCCACCCAACAUUCUCCAACCGUAGACCCAGAUGUUCUCCAUAAAAACAACAAAAACAAGAGUCAGUAGAGAUCAGAUUGCACAUCACCAGAUGAAGAUGUUUGGAGACACUACAGGGUUCCAGUCUAUAGGUGAGACACUACAGGGUUCCAGUCUAUAGAUGGAGAGGUUUGGAGACACUACAGGGUUCCAGUCUAUAGGUGAGACACUACAGGGUUCCAGUCUAUAGGUGAGACACUAUAGGGUUCCAGUCUAUAGGUGAGACACUAUAGGGUUCCAGUCUAUAGGUGAGAC
ensembl:lncRNA